rnacentral:rRNA from 1 species
UGAACGCUGGCGGCGUGCCUACUACAUGCACAUCGAGCGAACAGAUACGGAGCUUGCUCCUUUGACGUUAGCGGCGGACGGGUGAGUAACACGUGGGUAACCUACCUAUAAGACUGGGAUAACUUCGGGAAACCGGAGCUAAUACCGGAUAACAUUUGGAACCGCAUGGUUCUAAAGUGAAAGAUGGUUUUGCUAUCACUUAUAGAUGGACCCGCGCCGUAUUAGCUAGUUGGUAAGGUAACGGCUUACCAAGGCAACGAUACGUAGCCGACCUGAGAGGGUGAUCGGCCACACUGGAACUGAGACACGGUCCAGACUCCUACGGGAGGCAGCAGUAGGGAAUCUUCCGCAAUGGGCGAAAGCCUGACGGAGCAACGCCGCGUGAGUGAUGAAGGGUUUCGGCUCGUAAAACUCUGUUAUUAGGGAAGAACAAACGUGUAAGUAACUGUGCACGUCUUGACGGUACCUAAUCAGAAAGCCACGGCUAACUACGUG